CCCUUAGAUGUUCUGGGCCGCACACGCGCUACACUGAAGGAGGCAGCGUGUACUCCUGGAUCGAAAGAUUUGGGUAACCCGCGAAUCUCCUUCGUGCUAGGGAUUGAGGUUUGCAAUUAUCCUUAAUGAACGAGGAAUUCCCAGUAAGUGCAAGUCAUAAGCUUGCGCUGACUACGUCCCUGCCCUUUGUACACACCGCCCGUCGCUACUACCGAUUGAAUGAUUUAGUGAGGACUUCGGACUGGGACCGAUGCGGCUUUCGGGCUGCGUCGGUAUUCUGGAAAGAUGUCCAAACUGUAUCAUUUAGAGGAAGUAAAAGUCGUAACA
rnacentral:rRNA from 1 species